GAAUGCCUUCUAAAAUUGCUUUCAUGUACAUUAUUUCAUGUACAAUUGCAGUUUAUUCCAGAACAAUGCAAUGUGAUAUUUAUAAACAUAAUCCCAUAGUGUAACAUAUUUAUUCAGUGAUGGACAACUUUCAGUCCAUUGAUUGAAGAAGAAUGUGCCAAUUGUUCAUCAGAUUCAAGCAUUUGUAUCCUCCAUGGUUCCUCUUGAAGUAACACAAACAGCUGUGAAUAAGGAAGCAUGCUGAAGCUAUUUCUAUGUUAUACACGUAAUCAGUGGUAAAUUCCAUUUAAUGCAUGUCUGCCUAUAAAAAUCCAUUGAAGCUUUACUAUUCAAGUAGGGUUUCAUCUUGAAUUUGAGAUUACCAUUCAAAUAGCAGCAGCAGUGUUAGUGUUGACAGUUUAUAUUGUAGAACCUGCAUGUAUUCAGAUGUGCAGAAAUGGUGAUAGACAACAGUAAAUAAGAUAUGUAUAUAAUAACCAUACAAAAAUUCAACUUUUACAAUUGAAUUUUCUCAACAAAAAACCUAGAUUUCUUUUUCCUUUUUUAGGUUUCAGGAGGCACUUACACUUAGGAAAAAAAUCAUCUAACCAUCUAAAAAUCAUCUAAUCUUCUUUUCUGUAUUUUUAUUUUCUCCUCCCUGUCUCUCUUGUC
rnacentral:lncRNA from 1 species